rnacentral:rRNA from 1 species
UCUGAUGGAAAAUAAAUCAACCGAGAUUCCGUAAGUAGUGGCGAGCGAAAUCGGAUUUUAGACUCAAAAAAAUUAAGUUCCAAAUAAAUGUUUUGAAAAACAUACCGUAGAAAGUAAUAGUCUUGUUCAUUCUGGAAUAUAAAUAAAAUUCAGUUUUAAUUUAAAGUAAAACAAUUUUCGAAUAGAGUUGUUUUAAAAUAGUAGGUUCACCUUCUAAGUCUAAAUAUUUUAUUUAUAAUCGAUAGUAAACGAGUACCGUGAGGGAAAGGUGAAAUAAAACCCUUAAGGGAGUGAAAAGCUGUUAAAAUUAAAUA